rnacentral:rRNA from 1 species
GAUGAACGCUGACAGCAUGCUUAACACAUGCCAGUCUUUGGCGAAGCUGUGCUUGCACAGCCUAGCCAAGGCGGACGGGUGAGUAACGCGUAAGGAACUUGCCCUGCAGUCAGGGAUAACAGACGGAAACGACUGAUAAGACCUGGUAAAGUCAGGCGGACUCAUGUCCAGCCUGAUGAAAAGUGAUGCUGCAGGAGAGCCUUGCGUCCUAUUAGCUUGUUGGUGGGGUAACGGCCCACCAAGGCGAUGAUAGGUAGCCGGCCUGAGAGGGUGGACGGCCACAAGGGGACUGAGAUACGGCCCUUACUCCUACGGGAGGCAGCAGUGGGGAAUAUUGGACAAUGGGGGCAACCCUGAUCCAGCAAUUCUGUGUGCACGAUGAAGGUUUUCGGAUUGUAAAGUGCUUUCAGCAGGGAAGAAAAAAAUGACGGUACCUGCAGAAGAAGCGACGGCUAAAUACGUG